GCCUCCGUGGCGGAAUCGGUAGACGCGAUAGACUCAAAAUCUAUUGUCCAUUGCGGAUGUGUCCGUUCGAGUCGGACCGGAGGUA
rnacentral:tRNA from 1 species